rnacentral:rRNA from 1 species
GACGAACGCUGGCGGCAUGCCUAANACAUGCAAGUCGAACGGAACUUGUUGAAUGAAGUUUUCGGAUGGAUUUUGAUAAGUUUAGUGGCGGACGGGUGAGUAACGCGUGAGCAACCUGCCUUUCAGUGGGGGUCAACAGUUGGAAACGACUGCUAAUACCGCAUAAUGUUAUUUGGGGGCAUCCCCGAAUAACCAAAGAUUUAUUGCUGAAAGAUGGACUCGCGUCUGAUUAGCUAGAUGGCGGGGUAACGGCCCACCAUGGCGACGAUCAGUAGCCGGACUGAGAGGUUGAACGGCCACAUUGGGACUGAGAUACGGCCCAGACUCCUACGGGAGGCAGCAGUGGGGAAUAUUGGGGCAAUGGGCGAAAGCCUGACCCAGCAACGCCGCGUGAAGGAAGAAGGUUUUCGGAUUGUAAACUUCUGAUCUAUGGGAAGAAGAAAGUGACGGUACCAUAGGAGAAAGCCACGGCUAACUACGUG